UCUUCCUCCUGCCUCACCUCUCUCUCCCCCUCGACCCGCUCCCGCCUCCCUGCCCUGCCGCCAUCCAGAUCGCUUCCGCUCGCCCUCUCCUCCUCCCUGCCCUCUCGGUGCUCAGCGGGACGAGCGCAUCUCCGGCGUUGUGCGCUGUGGUUCUGGUCCGGUCGCAGGUCGCCUCCAUGGAAAAGCACGUGCUGAAUGGUACUCCCCCUCUCCCCUCUGUGCCCUCUCUCUUCCCCGACCUCUUUCUCUUCCCGCGUUCUCGAUCUGGCGCCACCACACAUCCUGGUUCUGGAUCGGGCUGAGAGAGCAUGGCUGGUGUGGUCUUCAUGCUUGGUGAGGAGGAGCAGGGGAGGGUGAGUAGGACGGGCAUGGGGAAGGAGCAGCCAGGCCGGAGCUCCGGCGUCGCUCGCGUCAUGGUGGAAUGGAGCCGACCAUCACUAUGGGCUGCAGCUCGCCGGUCGUCGUUCCCCAAUCUUCCUCCCCUGUUUUUUUCUACCUCUUGCCCCCUGGUUCUUUAAUCUAAUUUGGAUUUCUUGUUUUAUGUUUUUACUAAACAGGGCAAGUAUAGAAGGGAGCUCCAGUAAGGCCAACGUUUAGGACCAGUCCAUGUCCGAGACGACGUUUGGGCGGGUGUCCAAUUUCAUCGGAUCUUUUGCAAUGUUUCCUCAGAAGGAUGAGCCUAGAGGUACCAGAAUAUUACUAUUCAAUCUCUUCUCAUUUUUCUGCAAGAGUAGAUACAAUGUACUGUGUUUGAUAUGCUAACUCGUUUUGAGGGAGACAGAAAAUCUGUGUUGGUUCCUGGGAAUCACAUUGUUCAAGAUAAAACCAGCCAAGUAGUUUUCUUUGAUGUUCUUUGCAUUAGAUUAAUAAAUCUUGUUUCUAGCAAUGCUAUAUUCUAUUACAAUCUUUUAGAGUUGUAGUAGCCGGAGAUUAAUUUUCAAGUUUGAACUCCUAUCCUGUUAUUUAUGUUUGAGCAUGUUCUUCUUAUUUCUGUACCAGUACUCUAAUUUAACUCUCUAGGAGCUCCCAAGAAAAAGAAGGCUUGUUGCGUCCUAAUAAAGGAUCUCCUUGCUUGCGUGUGCUUGUGCUGGUGGUUUGCUUCCUGCCUACUACUUUGGGACAGAUAUAUAUGCAUGUUAAUUCGUCUCUGAUGUUUGUAGGGUGUGCCCAGUUUUCUUAGCUUCUUACUAAUUCUUGAUUCUAGGGUCCAGUAGACUAGGUGAUCAUUGUUUAUAUAUGCCCAAACCAAUGCAUGUUGUUGUAAUAUAUGUGCUUCAGAAUCUGGCAGAGCACCUCUUGUUGUUUACAUAUGCAAAUAGUAAUUCUUGGUACUCGCCCAUAUGAGGUAUAGUUUUGAGAAUCCUGAACUGAAGGUGAACAUUGCUGAUGUGAAAUGGCGGCGUCACAAGCCAGAAGGUCACCAUGGAGACCAUAAACAGACCAGCACCCAGCGCUCAGUAGUAGCAAUCCAACAUAAAUGCACAGAACAAGCACGAGGGGACACACGCAGCAGCAAGCACGGGGAACAGAGGUGGAUAGCCAUUUCGAGAUGGUUGUUUUUUGUACCCGUGGCGCGAGGAGCGCCGGUCAGCCCGGUGGACCUUUGACGUAAGCACAACGCUGAAUCAGACACAAGCAUGGUCGUUGGGGUGCGUGCUGGAUCGGCACCCCGCGGCUGUAUACAAGCAAUCGGCGUGCUGUCCUCGUUUGGCCUAUCUAUUAGCAUUAUAUCUCCUUCAUCAAUUAUUGUUCUCAUAUUUCCUUUUAUGAAGGCUAGGAACUAGGCUGAAAUACACAUAUGUCUUAAUUGUUGCUUUUCUUAGUGCAGAUAUGGAAGAUCUAAAAGCCUCUGUGAAAGAUUUUUGUUCUGUAGAAGCCAAUGAUCUGGUACACUGUGGGACCUUAACUUCUGGAGUGAACGACUGUCGGAAUCAAAAUACAAUAUUGAUGAGGUUCUUUCUUUACAGAAGUAGAUUACAAUAUUGAUGAAAUUAGCUCCUGGCCAUUGCAUCAUUGCAUACUUAUUGGAAUUUGAUUUGCUCAUUAAUUGUAGGUUUAAACUUUUUUAGCUCUGAUGUAUGGGAAAAUUAUAUGCAUUCCUCAUCUAUCAUAGAUAAAUUGAUAUAUUGCUCUCCUAAAAUGCAUUGUUGGCCUAAGAUGUUAUUAUAUACGUGACAUGUUAUUGGCUAAAUAUGAUUCAUACUUUACAAACUCCUUACAACUAGAGUAGGAUCCAAGAACAGAUGGUGAAAAAUAAACUGAACACUUGCUUUGAUUUGUUCAAAUUUUACAGAAACGGUUAUAACACACUUUUCUUUGCAAGCUGGAUACGAAGAGAAAUAUGUUAAAUAGACGGAAGAAAAAAAAUAUUAGGUAAGCGUUAGCAAGUCUGUGCUGGAUGCAGUGCACGGCCACGCCAAAUCCACACUGCUUGAGGAGGUGGCUCUGCAACUUGGAGUCCGUCAUGACGAGCUCUUCAUCACAAUUAGCUCGAGAUGAUGCAAGCGUUCCUCUCAUGUCCGUCCAGGACGAGAGAUAUAAUGCACUGAUGUAGUUUUGUAACCAACCAUGUCUUUACACAGGCUUGCUAACCUACAUGUCUGCUAUCAUGUAGUUUACUAUUUUUAGGUAAACUUUCAGAGAAAACACAUAGUCUAAUUUUAAGGUGAUUAUGUCUGAUUGGUCUAAGUAGAUGGUGAAAGCACAUAUAAUUAUACAUCAUGGAUUGCAUAUGGACUAGAAUUUUGCUUGAGCUUUUGCUGGUGAUUUGUAACAAAAUACUCGAUAGUGAUUUGGCAAAUAUAGGAUUAAGCAUUAGACACUUAAUACCUGCCCUUAAUAUCAAGGAAACGAGAUACUGUUGUGGCAUUUAUUUACCCUACAACUCUGUUAUUCAGCAAUGGUAGUACGAGUCUUGGUACUGUUAUUACCUCUGUAAUGGAUAUAAUUAUUCCUGAAUACACACGACAUCCACUUUUCUUGUUAAUAACUCAUAAUUGUGGACUACUAUUUUUCAGUACUACCGUCAGGUACCUGUGUUCUCUACCUUGUUAUCCAGUAUGUAUGUGUAUGCACUUUUGAAUGAUUAGUGAGCUAGACCAAGAAGUGAGCUACAAUUUCAGUGUUACUUUUUCUUGGAGUACUGAGACGAACACAUACAUUUCAAGCUAUCUUCUUAAAACCUUACUAUGCCAAAUCCACACUGGCCGAGUAAAGCGCCGCACAAUGAUAAUUUGAGAGGAGACUAAUGACAUGGUAUAAAUUUCUCUUGUAUAGUUGGUCAUUAUAUAGUUAGCACUGCCUCAAUCAGUGCAGCUUAAUAAGGUCCUUGAUUGAGCACGCAUUUGAUUUAUGCCGCCAUAGAUCUCAUUGGUGAGUGUAGCUAUGGGAGUCUAAUGCCAUCUUUAUAAAGACAUAAAUCAUUAACCUGUCACUACAUAUAUGUAUAAUACUUCCUUCGUCCGGAAAUACUUGUCGGAGAAAUGGAUGAACCUAGACGUAUUUUAGUUAUAGAUACAUCUAGUUUUUUAUCCAUUUCUCCGACAAUUAUUUCGGAAUGGAGGGAGUAGUAACUUGAUUCAAAAAUUCAGUUUUGUCAAGUGUGAGUUGAUUUUCAUGAUACCAAUGCAUUAGAAUUCUGUGUUGCAAACUCGCACUUAGAUGCUUAUUAAGUUUGUGUUUUUAUAUCAUCUUUGUUUUCGAAAUGUAAUUUGAUUAUGUGAGGCAGAAGCUUCCUGUCGUUACUUGUACACACAAUAAGUAAUGGGGAAUUGUAUGUUUGUGCGCCUCCUGUAUUUGAUUACAGAUGCAAAUAAGGCUCCUGGAGCAGCUAAGGAAAUAAAGAGCUAUAUUGGUUGUUCAGCUUCAGAUCUUGUGUUGGUAGAAAUUGUUAUUAUCAUUUUUGACUAUUAUUACUUAACAUUAAUUUGUAUUUAGAAGAAUUAGUAAUAACUUACAUUACUGGAUUAUAAAUUGUUCAUCAGGGUUUCUUUUCAUUAUUUUCUUUCUUGGAUCCAGCGUUUUUUGGCAGGCUAGCUUUGUACUAUUUCAGUUCCAUGAUUAUUAAUUUAUCAGGCCUGAUUUGUCAUGUUUUAAUUUGAGAUUUGUAGCCAGUAGCCACACUGAAGCUUACUUGGUAGCUUUUUGACAGUACCUUUUUGUCAUGUUUUAGUUAAGUGAUGUUCCUGGGGCCUUGAUCAUAUAUAUAUGAGCAAGGCACCAGUACCUUUUUGUCAUGUUAAUUUUUCAAGAUCCAUUGUAAUCUUUUCAGAAUUUCAUACUUCACCAUUGUUGGAUUAUAGCUCCAAAGUGAUAUGAUAUUGACGCAUUUGAUCACCACUUCAAUUGAGCAGGACAAAGUGAUCAUGAGUGAUCAAUCUGGACUUCUUAACACAUUUGAGUUGAAAUGAUAGUUCAUUUUAAAGUGCCUUGUUUGGUUGUCUAAGUUUUAGUGCUCACUAUGAAGUUCUUACUGAAAAGUGUUAUGGUUCCUUAGUACCUUCCAUAAUUUUGUAAUCUUGUGUUUAUAUAGCAGGAAUUGUUGUUUUAUGCCUAAUAUCAUGAAAUUUACCUAAAUAAUGAGUCUCGCAUUGCUACUGUUAAAUGUCAUAUGAUGCAUGUGUCACUGAAAGGUUGGAGUAUGUGUGUAGGGUCCUUAUUCAUAGAUGAUCUUGAGCCGUUGGAGCUAUAGGCUGUAACAUCACGACCGCUUGCAGCCAAUAAAGAGUUGGUCCAGGCAUGCUUUCAGGAAAUAUUGCUCCUUUGUAUCCUUUUCGGUUCUCAUUCCCUUUGCUUGACCCAAUUGAACUUUUUGUAGGAAGUGGUUUGUGCUCCUAAGUAAUGUUGGAGAAGAUUCUGUAUUUGUAGUGAUCACAAGAUGACAACAUCAUCGACCUAAAUCUAGCACCCUCAAUGGAAAUCACAUAGCAGCAAAAGAACUUUACCGUUUAAUAUAUGCCAACUUCACAGGAGGAUCAACAUCCAAAGAUAACAAUCUUAAUCAUGUCUUGUCACAGGUAAGAUAUGUUGUUGUUGAUCGUCUGAAUGAUGCAACUACACAGUCAGAGUAUGAUCUCCAACAGACAAACAGAUAUUAUUGGGGCCUGGACGAUGAUAUUGAAGGAAUCACUGCUUUAGGUAAUGAUGGACCGCCAAUGGAUAUUUAGGGCAUACGUAUCAACGGCUCUGCCUGACGAUCAUCGGCUCAUAACUACAACCAUCUAUAUGGUGCGCCAAUACUAUGUAUCAGCACGAGGUUCUCUUAAAACACUAUGUAUCAAAACUAAGUUUCUAUUUGCUUACACUCAUUGUAAAUUUCUUAGAACAGUAUGUAUCAGCACUACGAGAUCAAUAUAUGCUACCAUCAAGCAAUAUCAUUGCUUCCUCUUUGUC